GAUGAACGCUGGCGGCGUGCCUAAUACAUGCAAGUCGAACGGACAGACGAUGAGCUUGUGCCUCUGACGUUAGCGGCUGGCGGGUGAGUAACGCGUGCAUCACCUUCCUAUAUUUCGGGGAGAAUUACGUAAAGCCGGUUCUGAUACUAGAGCAUAUAUUGAACCGGAGUGUGCAGUGGAGAAUUGCGGCUUUGGGGUUUGUUAUAGCUGGUUUCGCGCCGUAUUGGCUGGUUGGUAAGGUAACGGCCUACCAAGGCAACGAAGCGUAGCCGAACUGAGAGGCUGAUCGGCCACACUGGAACUGAGACACGGUCCAGACUCCUACGGGAGGCAGCAGUAGGGAAUAUUACGCAAUGGGCGAAAGCUUGACGCAGCAACGCCGCGUGAGUGAUGAAGGCCUUCGGAUCGUAAAGCCCUGUUAUUGGGGAAGAACAGCUGUGUAAUUAAACAUGGCCGUCUUGACGGUACCUAAUCAGAAAGCACCGGCUAACUACGUG
rnacentral:rRNA from 1 species